AAGAUCCCUCUCAACUUUACUGAGACAACAUAUGGAGUGGAUAGAUGCUGACAGCAGAGGCUGGUCUGUGCUUGGUUGGUUACAGGACAGAAAAGGGUUCUUUGGUCUGAUAAGGACCUGAUGACACCUGCCCACCCCACCUUUUUUUUUAAUAAUGCUUUUCUACCCUUUCAGAAAUGAAAACUGGCUGCUGGUUUAAACUUUUCACUAAUCCCUUUAAUCAUAUGAUUUUAUUCAACCAGGACAUCUGAGUCAACCAGUUUGAGAAUUGGUAUCUUAUUCAAGCACCUGAUCACAAACUGAUCAGACUGAAAUCUCAGCACCUAAAGAUUACCUUCUCAGCAGGAAUUGGGGGUGGGGGUGGGUGGGCAUGGAGAGGUACAAUCAGUGGUCCUCAAAGUGUGGUCCCCAGCCAGCACCAUCAGUACCAACUGCAGCUUGUCAGAAAUGUAAAUUCUUGGGCCUCACCCCAGAUGUCCUGACUUAGAAACUCUGGACGUCGGCCCAGCCAUCUGGGCCUCCAGGUGAUUCUGCUUUGCUAAGCAUUUUGCUGACAGUCUGAGGACCAUCGGUGUAGCUUCUCCAGAGUCAUGUUCUUAACAUGGUCUUCGUCCUCAUUCCCCACUGCCUCCUUCUUUCUUUCCUCCCAUAAACAUUGAAUGUAUUGAUCCCUUAUGAGUGUUUUUAUGACAGUGAUUUGGAAAUACACACAUUUGCAGAUUGCGUGUCUAUCUGUAAACAUCAAAUUCGUGCAGGCCAAAUUCAGAGUAUCUUUUCUAGCAAUCCCAAGGAAAUGAACUCUUGAAGAGCCUGUUAGUAAUGUACAGGUGAAGAUUUCUUCCUAUACUUUGCCACCUGGGACCAGUUUAUCCUUCUUUUCCCAACUUUAACUCCAGUAAAAUCCUUUCAAAUAUUGAAGCUCUACAGUUCUAAGGGCUUGGUUGCCCUCUUUGUUGUUACCCUGCCUUGGUAAUUCUUCCAUGGCCUCUGUUCUUUGAACUUCAAAAUUGAGGGUUCAGGGGAAGAGGGCUAGUUUAGAGGACUGAGUUAAGGACAAAAAGAUUCAUAGCUAACAGUCUGGAGUUCUUAGAGACUGUUCAUUCAGGAAUAUGACUGGGAGAAUGGGCUAGUCCAACAGAGGCUGGGAAGGGAACUGCGUGGAUCAUGUGACAAGGUGCAAUUUCAUAGGACCUUACAUAGGGAGUGUGUGUAUGUGAAUUUACAUUAGUGCUAGGGUUUUCCUUGGAUUUCUUGACUGGGAAGUUGGGAUGACAUUAACAUGAGGCUUCUUUUCUUUAUGCUCUAUGUGGUGUAGAGAGAGUUCCAUGCCAUUCAAGCUUUAAUUAAUACAUAUACAUGAAAAUAAGACUGAGAGUUCUAGUUGUUCCUUCCUGUUCUUCCAGUGACCUUGGAAAUGCUGCCUAGAAGCAGAUCAAGCUCACUGGUUGAUACUACAGAGCUUCAUGGUGGGUGUGCAGAUGUCUGGUGUUCUGUGAGGGACUUCAGAGCUUUCCAGAUACAAGGGAUCACAGGAGGUGCCUCUUGGGACACUGCUUCAGCUCAUCCUCCUUUCAAAAGGAGGCGACCCAUACACCCUGGCUGGCAGUGGCUUCCCUGUGUGGGAAAGAAGCACAGCAGCCCCAAAGAAUCCAAGAGGAAGACAUGGGAUGUGGAGAAUGAGCAAAGGAACCAGUAACACUAUGGUUAAAUCUAGUGAGGAAGCACGCCCUUGGGCUGAAGCUCGUGAUCAUCUUGGGACCAUGGCAGAAGGAUCUGACAAAGCCAAAACCAGGAAGAGAGAAGGGUGAAGAGAAUUCUGGGGAAGGGGGCCCAACCUCUGGUCAAGCCACGCCUGAAGCUUGCCCCACAGAGGCUCCUGUCAAGGCCUGUGAAAAGUCCCCAUGCUCACUAAGUUUCCACUCACCCAACGAAAACCCAAGCCUGACUGCCCAUUAAUCUCAAGGAUCAUGACCUGCUCAGACUUAAUGUCAGGAUUCCCCACCCCAUGCCAGUCCAGAUGUAUGGGACCACAUGUACUGUCUACCCCCAAACGUGUGAAACUGGACCAGUGCUCUGACCUUCCACCGCUUGAGCACCCACUAUAACCUCUUCAGCUUCCCUAAAUAACUCCUCUGUCCCAGCAGGGAGCUGAGUGGUCCCGCCCUAAAUGAUAUGUUCUAGUCUAACAUCUUGCAAAUCACAACAGAACUUGUGUUUUAGUUGCAGAAUAAAAUUUCUUUUACAGCCAAAAACAUUCAUAAUGGUCUGAGCCUGUCUGAGUUAGGUUUGCUCCUUUCAAAUGAAAAUAUCCAAAUCGAUGCAAUCUGUGAACUGUCUCUUAACCAGACCAGCUGGUUAUCUCUUGAGUAAGGGCAGUAAACACUGACCUUUGGAAAAAACCUUUCAAUAACCGUGGAGGUAGUAUGGGAGAAGUAGAGAAGAACAGAAAAAUAAAUGACUUCUAAAACACCAUUCUAGUACACAGUUGGAGAGAUUAAUGGGUAAAAACAUCAUUUUGCAACAAUGCCCCUGGAUUAGUCUUUUUUUUUUACAUAAUGGAAGCUGCAAAUAAAUUCAAACUAAUUUAAAGGAAGUAAUCAGUAGAGAGAUUCCUAGUCUAAUUUCCAAAUUAUGUGAGUUUCGCCAGGCCCUUUAACUUCUCCAUGUCUCAAUUGAAGUAGUUCUCCUGUCCCCCACUUGCUAGGUUGUAAGGUUCAAAUGAGAUUAUACAUAAUAUGAUAAAGUUCUUUGUAAUUUUAUACAAUUAUCAUAGGUCUAAGGUCUUAUAAGAUCAGCUGCUCCCCCAAAAGCUCUGGUUUUCCUGUCGAGCUCUGUUUCUUCCUGAAAUUAUGACCUGACUUAAAGAUGAUUCAUUCUGAAAAGUUGUGGCAGCAACUUGGUACUCACAGUGCUCAUUCAUCCACAGCCCACUAUCUAAGAGGGAUUUGUGUGCAGUGUCAAGACUCACCCUGUAUGACAUGGCAUAGCUUAACACUCAUAAUGUCCAUAAGAAACAUCUCGAAAUAAAUUGCUUUGCUGACAGUUUAUUAUCUUGUGGCUCAGAGAAAAACACAGAGCAUUUCCUUAAGGGCAGGGACUGUUGUCUACUCAUGUUUCUAUUUUGUCAGCAGUGCCUGGCACAGUUAGUCCCAACUUUUAGAAUUGAACUGAAUUCUGUUUGGCCAGCUCUCAAACCAGGAGGAAGCCUAGAGCCCAAUCACACAGGCUCUGGCUGCUGUGAGAGUGGCUUGAAAUGCUGAGCCUAGAAAUAGUCUGUAGAUGCUAUGCAAUAGUUCUUGUCCACAUUAUGUCCUCAGAGGAGAGGCUAGUGGGAUAGACUUUCCUCCUUUGCGGGACACAUCAUAUACCUGCAAGAGAGCGGUUGGCUCCUAGGAAUCAGCCAG